AUGAAUAUUCAGCAAGUGGCUUUGCAUUGAGUAAGUGCCCUUAAUCGGCUUUUCAGUUCAGUUUUAUUGGUUGCACGCGUAGUCAGUUAUUACAACAGGAAUAUUUGAGGGCCCUACAAAGCUAACCAGAUCAUUUAUGAAGAUGUUAAAUAACUCAUCUUGGUAAGACCUUCUUGAUAACAACCCUUCAAAAGGAAAACUGCACAGGUCUCAUUUUCCCAGGUGUCCUUGAAUACAGCAAUUCCAAUAAUUCCAUGAAUACAGCAAUAGUCAUGUCUGUGGGUCUCUGACUUCUAUAAAGCAUCCCUAUACACAGUGAAGUAAGAGUCAUUACAAAGUCAUCAUUUAUGAACAUCCUGUGUGCCAUGAUACCAGAGAGGUUGUUUUCUGGUGAAGUACUGAAGUACCCUGGUGUGCAAAGGGAUAAAGAUACUGCUGUUGGCUGUUGAUCACUGCAUCUGGGAACAAAAUACAAAGAACUGGUGGGAAAAUAUUGAUUGAAACGAAGUUUCAACAAAACCAAUGAAAAAUAUUAAAGUUUUGAGUUAAUAUUUUUCCUGACUUCAGACGAGCUCUGCUUUCAUUGCACAGGAGUGACUAAGAGAACUCAGGUUUCUUUUUCCCUGAAACAAAUUAUCAUCGUUAUGCUCUGCAAUGAUCAUCUCCCUUUAAUUAAACAUAAAAAAAGCAUAUUUGUCUUUUAAGCAAUGAUAGAGACACCAUUAAAACAUAAAUUUCAGCAAGCAUCUGGAUCUUAUAGUUGUUCUAAUUUGCAUGACAUAGUUUCCAUCAUUUUAUAACAACAUAUUGACUCUGAAUAGGCCUUUAGAUGCUGUAUGUGUUGCAAAAGAUAAUGAACUAAACCAACUUGAAAUUGCCUACAAGGAUCAUGUGAAAAUAAAUACCAUUGUAGUGAAACCUGCUUUAGAACUUGUCCAUUUACUUAUCCAUCUCCAGUUAUAUUCAUACCAUGACAGGCAUAAAAACUUAUUACUUAUGGAGGUUAUGGUUGCAGUUGCCUAGAAUAACGAAGGCAAAACAAGGAGCACAUUUUAAUGUUUUCAACAAGAAAAAUAUUUAGUUUGACUAUUUUUUCUUUUGAUGCAGUUCUGGUGUGAGUGAUAGAAGGCAUGAGUAACAUAGUGCUAGGCUUUUAAGAACCGAAGGCUUAUUAUACAAUCAGUAAGGAAUCAUACAGGGUGAAAAAAAAUAAUCAUGGUCAAGUCAACACAGUCCAAAUUGGACAGACCAAAUCCAUACCCACCACAGAAGGCCCAUUUUAACAUUUAUUGACAUCUUUCCACUAGAAGGCACCAAGAAAUAAAUUGCUGGUAGUGCAAUCCAAUUCAGGAGCAGUGGGAAAGCCACAGGCUCAUUACCAGUGUUGGUACAAGGCCAUGUGGAAAUGAGGUUUGCCAUUUCUAAAGAAAUGCCCUUUUCAUGGAAUGCUCCCAUAAGAAGCAUCGCCAGUGGGAAUAAAAAUGAAUAUGCCUAAAAUGAGGACAGUGCCCCUCAGACUUUAUGCCGCUUUCUAUCUGACCCUAAAUUAGGCCUCAGAAGAUGUAGCGUUUAAUACAGAUACUGGGCACAAUGUACCUUCUUGCAAUUAGAAGAAAAUGCUGUUUCGUAAUUAAAGGGUGAAGUGGGGCAUGAUGAACAUAUGGAAAAGGAGACCCUUAAUAAGUGAUGGAACCUUCAAAAGAAAUUGCUAAUUAGUAUGCAUUUGAUGUGUACUAUACCAAUUUUAAGACUUUGCCUAGAAUAAAUUGCUAUGUUGAGUGUUCGAAGGAGUGGUGAGAUUAGCAUUUACAAAGGGGGCAAUUUUCUGUCUUCUUGACUCUGUUAAAUGGAGGAAAUAACUUCCAAGACUGAAGCAGUAGUUAGCCCAUCAAUCAUCCUCACAGCUGGAAACUGGGGAUCCCAAAUGCUGAGAUGAGUUAAUCUGUCAGUUAAUAAGUUCAUAGUGGCACCAUAUGGCACUGGGCCACUCCACACUGGGGCAAGGACAGCACUGUUUACACAGACCUGCUGCUUUCUCAGGUACCUCCCUAUUCUCAGAUGCUUAGUUCUGCAGGAUCAAUUUAUUUUACACAGUAAAUUGACUGAAUUGAUCAGUUCAGAGCAUGUAAUUGUUGGCUAACCCCAGGGAAUCAUGUCCUGCCCAUAUCAGAGAGACAAAGGGUCCUGGCACUAGCGACCUUCUUGCUCCAUCCUGGAGGCUAUUUUCUCCAAACAUGAUGGACAUCAAUUAAAGCUGCUGAUGGGUGGAUAUACAGCCUGUAUUGACUUGAAGUGACAGACGUAACAGGAGAACCGGCUUCCUUCAGUGAGGCUGCUUUAGGUGUCUCAGACCGGCUGCUGCUGCUAAUUGUCCCAAGGGAGGAAAGAAUAUGAAGGUCAGUACCAUCAGCUUGAAUGCCAACCGAAAUUGAAAACCCAAACACCGAAUCAUAGGCUAGCAAGCAAAUAAAAGAUAAAGUCACUGUGUUUCAAGCUACACAAGCAGGGCAAUUUAGUACAAGGCACAAAUAGGCCGUAUCUCUGAUCAGAUAAAGACUCACCCAGAUGUGCUUAGGUGCUGCACAAUGUGUAACUUUCCAGCUUUAACCUUGAAAUUCCUCAAUUUUACAAGUAUGCUUGAAGGCAUCAUUUCCAAACACAGUGAUUACAUUUCAAUCUAAGUAUAAAAUGCAAAUCAUUCUGCAAAUGUGCAAAGUAUCUCAUUUAAUCUUUUCUUUUUAAUCAAACUUUUAUAACCAGUGACUUUCUGAUUAGUUUCCAACAGAAGUGGUAAAUUCUUCUUCCACUUUACAAAAAAAAAAAAAAAAAAAAAAAAGAAAAGGAUUUAGCAAGCAUAGUAAAUAACAUAUUUCAAAAUAUCAAAAUAAUAUGUAUUUGGAAGCUGUGAUGCAACAUUAAGUACAGUUUCCCAAAGGUGGGAUUGUAGCAAUACAAACCCACAUUUGUUAGAGAGUUUCCCUGUCUUGCCUCCACAGCAACUUUUUAGUGUAGGUUGUGGGGACUUUUCUUAACUUGCAGCUUACUGUUUAUUUCAGUCCCUUUGAAAUCUGUGGAACUUGAUGGGUAAGUAUGACUUAGUAUAUAUAAUAAACACACUCUAAGGUAUACUUCAAACCUGAACCAAGGGAGAUACCUCAGUGAAUUUAAUUGUUUGAAGAUAUUAUGUUCAUUUUAUGGUUUGUUGCUGCUAGAUAUUCAUCUCAGUAUGCAGAACUUAUCAUUCUGACAGCCAAACUGUAAAAAGUAAACAUCUCUUCCUUUCUCUUUUCCUUUUCCUUCCACUUCUGCUAUCUCCUUCCUUUUCCCUCCUCUUUCCUUUUUCUCUUCCCUUCUCCAAAACCUGUUCAUUCAUUUUAACAAAAAGAUACUAGAAGGAGACUCAGGAUUUCAGGAGUUUUUGCCAGAAUUCUGCCAAACUUCGAAGAAAGCUUGUCUUGUCUCUUUUCAGCAAUAAGUGAAAACUGGAGUUUAGAAAACUUCUGUUCAGGAACGUUCUAGGGUGCAUUAGAAUGCAUCAGUGGCAAAUACUUUCAAAACCAAAGGAAGAAGCAGUAAAGCAGUGUAUCAACUUACACACAUUAUAUAAAGGUAAGAUGUGAUUUCUUCCAGAUGCAGAGCAGAUGAAGGCACAAUGGAUGAGCUCAGUCCAUCCAGCAAAGGACAUCUCUUCACCUUCACUUUGCUUUCUCAGAAAGUAGUUUUGCAUGAAAAAUAAAUGCAAGAAAAUGCAAAUAACUGAAUGUGUUCAUUUUCUGCCCCCUGCUACCUUUAAAGAAAAGAAAGAACUUCAAAAGAACAUUUGUAAGACUAACUUAAUUUUAUGCAUUUAAAAAAAAAAAAGAAAAAACCCAAACAGAAAUAUUUCCUGUAUGUUAGUGAUUUUGUUUUUAAAUCCUGUAGUACAUUGCAUCAUAGAUAGUGUAACAUUAUCUACAAUUGAAAAUUCUGAUUGUAGUGUAUGACUAUCAUAGAACCAAAGACUGGUUUGUGUUGGAAGAGACCUUAAAGCUCAUCCAGUUCCAACCCCCUGCCACGGGCAGGGACACCUUGCACUAGACCAGGUUGCUUUAAGCCCCGUCUAACCUGGUCUUAAACCCUGCCAGGGACAGGACAGCCACAGCUUCUCUGAGCAGCAUGUUGACAUACAAACCCCUCAAAAUUCCUGAAGUUGUAAACAUUAGCCUUUUGAUCAACAAAAUCAAAAUUAUGUAUCUUAGAAACAAAACAACCCAGUAAUAUAACAUUUACUGUAUCAUAUACAUGAUGUAUGUAAUAUAUAAGAAGACAGGUUGGUUUAAAGCAAGUUUCAUUUCAAAACAAAUAUUUUGUAGCUGAGCUCUGAAAAACUUACAAAAGAUGCUUUAUAAUGGAAAUACAGAAAUAUCUUCAUGUGGGAAGCAUUGAAAAUCACCACCGCAGCAAAAUAAGAUGCACUUUACAAUUAUCUUUUUUUUCUGGAGGUUGUUAUUUGCAAAUUUAUGUUAUUGUCACUGGGGAAGGACAGUAACUGACACAUCAGCUGACAUCUUUGCUCCUCCUUGACCUAGAUUCAGCAGAGGAGAGAGCAUCUGCAGGAGGGAAAAGCUGCUUCACAUGAUUACUCUCAGCCCAUCAGCACUCCCUGUACUGCUGCUGGUAACAAACACUGCAAAUAAAAGUAUUUAAUGAAGCUUUCUGCAUAGCCCCUGCUUGCCAAGCUGCAAAGCUCAUAAUGGGACAAGAUAUUUCUAAACUCCAAAUAGCAGAAUUAAUGUAUCAGGGUAGAAGUGGUCACUGCUGCCUUCAGCUGCAGGCCUUUAAAGUUGGACAGGGCUUGGAGCAACCUGGUCUAGUGGAAGGUGUUUCUG